CAUCCUUCAGUUGGGGACUCAUGCGAUACUGCCUGCGACGAGCAGGAGGAAGGUGGGGAUGACGUCAAGUCAUCAUGCCCCUUAUACGCUGGGCUACACACGUGCUACAAUGGGUAGUACAGAGAGCGGCAAACCCGCGAGGGGGAGCAAAUCUCAGAAAACUAUUCUUAGUUCGGAUUGUACUCUGCAACUCGAGUACAUGAAGUUGGAAUCGCUAGUAAUCGCAAAUCAGCAAUGUUGCGGUGAAUACGUUCU
rnacentral:rRNA from 1 species